rnacentral:tRNA from 1 species
AAACCUAUAGCUUAGUUGGUCAGAGCAUUGGUGCGGAAAGCCAAAGAUCCCGGGUUCGAUUCCUGGCGGGGGUG